CUUGAUUUAACUGAUAGAGAUAAUUUAUAAAAUUGCUUCUAAAAUAUCUCCAAUUUUUUUUUCCCCUGGACAUCCUUUCUCAGCCAAUGAUGGCAUUCUUGCUGACAUACUCAUAUCGUCUAUCUGUGUCCCAAAGGUGAGGAGGAUUUCUGACAGAUAGAGACACUUCAGCAACCAUGCCAAUUGACUGCCAACUUGGACAUAUGUACAGAGCAGAGAGCAUGCUAAAGUUCCUUAUGCAGAGAGCCAAGAGCCCACUGACAUUCACCAAUGACUGAAGAACGUGUCAGUAUCGCUACCGCAUAGUCAGGUUUGGAGUGAGUCCUGUUAAUGUUUCUGGAAAGGAGGAGAUGACCACCUGUGUAGGACACCACUCUGCUAGGUAUAUGUGCCUCAUUUGGCAUCCACUUUGCAUGUCUGCUGCUGGGCUUCCAUCUGUCGAAUCUCAACAUAGUGUCAGAGAUACAAACUGGAGAUUCCAUGGCUUCAAAAGGAAUUUUUCUGCUGGCUGACUGAUGGCUAUCUGGGGACUUAAAAUUGAGAAAGCAAUCCUCAUUGACUGACCUUUUUAUAUGCUUGGGAAAUAUUGAAAACCUGAAGAGUCUUAGAGAAAGUGGACAUCGCAGAGUACCUUGGCUUGGUCUGUAAUGGUUAAUCUUCUUCAGGAAAUCCAAGGAAAGAAAGAAAGAAAGAGAGAGAGAGAAAGAAGGAAGGAAGGAAGGAAGGAAGGAAGGAAGGAAGGAAGGAAGGAAGGAAGGAAGGAAGGAAGAAAGAACUGCCAUUUAAACUUAAGGUAUUAUCUCUUUGAAAUAAUAAGCUCUCCUUUCACACGUUGUUUUGUCUGUCAUAGCAAGAAGAAAGUGGAGACCAAAAGCAUUCAUAUAUUUAAUGCAUUUCUUUUUGAACGCUUGGCUUUUACACAGACAGGAGCCAUGAAAAUGCAUCAUUACACUGAAAAGUUAUAG
rnacentral:lncRNA from 13 species